rnacentral:rRNA from 1 species
UACGUAGGUGGCAAGCGUUGUCCGGAUUUACUGGGCGUAAAGAGCGUGUAGGCGGUCCGGUAAGUCCGCUGUGAAAGUCCGGGGCUCAACCCCGGGAGGCGGAUGGAUACUGCAAGGCUCGAGUCCGGAAGAGGCAAGUGGAAUUCCCGGUGUAGCGGUGAAAUGCGCAGAUAUCGGGAGGAACACCAAUGGCGAAGGCAGCUUGCUGGGACGGUACUGACGCUGAGACGCGAAAGCGUGGGGAGCAAACAGG